GUGGGCACGGAGCAGAGCCGUGGAUGAAGGGAACACUCCGGAGGGCGAGGAGACAGCAGCUGGUGGAGAACAGGAAGCGUCGUUCACCAUGAAAGCUACAGCUAAACACAAGGCGGUGACAUCAGGGAGGCUGAUGGGAGGAGCCAAAGUGCAGCCGCCCAGACGACAAGUGAAUCCGGGGCCACCCUCCCGCCCCC